rnacentral:rRNA from 1 species
AAGUAGGGGAUCGUAAGACCUUGCGCUUUUGGAGCGGCCGAUGUCUGAUUAGCUAGUUGGUGGGGUAAUGGCCUACCAAGGCUACGAUCAGUAGUUGGUCUGAGAGGACGGCCAGCCACACUGGGACUGAGACACGGCCCAGACUCCUACGGGAGGCAGCAGUGGGGAAUUUUGGACAAUGGGCGCAAGCCUGAUCCAGCCAUGCCGCGUGAGUGAAGAAGGCCUUCGGGUUGUAAAGCUCUUUCAGCCGGGAAGAAAAGGUUGCGACUAAUAAUCGCAAUUCAUGACGGUACCGAAAGAAGAAGCACCGGCUAACUACGUGCCAGCAGCCGCGGUAAUACGUAGGGUGCGAGCGUUAAUCGGAAUUACUGGGCGUAAAGGGUGCGCAGGCGGUUUUGUAAGUCAGAUGUGAAAUCCCCGGGCUUAACCUGGGAACUGCGUUUGAAACUACAAAGCUUAG